rnacentral:rRNA from 1 species
CAGCAGUGAGGAAGGUGGAGUAUGUUAAUAGCAUAUCUAUUUGACGUUAGCUGCAGAAGAAGCACCGGCUAACUCCGUGCCAGCAGCCGACGGUAAUACGGGAGGGUGCGAGACGUUAAGUACGGUAAUUACGUGGGACGUAAAGCGCAUGCAGGUUGGUUUAGUUAAGUCAGAUGUAGAAACGGCCCGGGGCUACAACCGUACGGUAAUUGCUAUUUAGAAACGUGGACAAACUAGAGUACUGUAGAGGGGGUAGAAUUUCAGGUGUAGCGGUGAAAUGCGUAGAGAUCUGAAGGAAUACCGGUGGCGAAGGCGGCCCCCUGGACAGAUACUGACACUCAGAUGCGAAAGCGUGGGGAGCAAACAGGAUUAGAUACCCUGGUAG